rnacentral:rRNA from 1 species
AUUCCGGUUGAUCCUGCCGGACCCGACUGCUAUUUGGGUGAGAAUAAGCCAUGCGAGUUGAAUGGGAUACCUAAGUUUCCCAUGGCAGACUGCUCAGUAACACAUGAUCAACUUGCCCUAUGGAGAAAAAUAAUCUCGGGAAACUGAGGAUAAUUUUUCAUAGUUGAAUAGGCUUGGAAAAGUUUUUCAAUCAAAAGAGUAAGGAAAAUGGUUCUUACUUGCCAUAGGAUGGGAUCGUGCUCGAUUAUGGUAGUUGGUGAGGUAAUGGCUCACCAAGCCGAUAAUCGAUAGGGGCCGUGAGAGCGGGAGCCCCGAGAUGGGUACUGAGACAACGACCCAGGCCUUACGAGGCGCAGCAGGUACGAAACCUCCACAAUACACGAAAGUGUGAUG